AAGUAAGCUACUAAGGGCGUGCGGUGGAUGCCUAGGUGCCAAGAGGCGAUGAAGGACGCGGGUGGCUGCGAAAAGCCCCGGGGAGCUGUCAACCGAGCGUUGAUCCGGGGAUGUCCGAAUGGGGAAACCCAGCACUGCGAAUAGCGGUGUUACCUUCCACUGAAUACAUAGGUGGAAUGGAGCUAACCAGGGGAAGUGAAACAUCUCAGUACCCUGAGGAAGAGAAAACAAUGAGUGAUUCCCAAAGUAGUGGCGAGCGAAAUGGGAGAAGCCCAAACCGAAACCACGAAAGUGGCGUCGGGGUAGAGGGUCCACGGUAGGACUUUGACUUGCUAGCGGAAGCCUCUGGAAAGAGGCACCAAAGGGCGUGAUAGUCGCGUACGCGAAAGCGAGUUGGAGCUGAGUGGGUUACCCAAGUAGGGCGGGACACGUGCAAUCCUGCCUGAAUCCGCCGGGACCAUCCGGUAAGGCUAAAUACUCCUUGGCGACCGAUAGUGAACAAGUACCGCGAGGGAAAGGUGAAAAGAACCCCGGUGAGGGGAGUCAAAAGAACCUGAAACCGCAUGUCUACAAGCAGUUCGAGCACUACGGGGCAACCCAGUGCGAGAGCGUACCUUUUGCAUCAUGAUUCGGCGACUUAAUAUACGUAGCGAGGCUAAGCCGAUAGGUGGAGCCGUAGCGAAAGCGAGUCCGAAUAGGGCGAAGAGUUGCGUGUAUUAUAACCCGAAGCGGGGUGAUCUACACAUGGCCAGGUUGAAGUGCGGGUAACACCGCAUGGAGGACCGAACCCGUGAAAGUUGAAAAUUUCUGGGAUGAGCUGUGUGUAGGGGUGAAAGGCCAAUCAAACUCCGUGAUAGCUGGUUCUCCCCGAAAGAUAUUUAGGUAUCGGCUCGGGCAAUUCAAUGCCGGAGGUAGAGCACUGGAACGGCUAGGGGUCUCACCAGAUUACCAAACCGUACCAAACUCCGAAUGCCGGCAAUUGUUAUCCCGGGACGCAGUCAGUGGGUGAUAACGUCCAUUGGCAAGAGGGGAAUAACCCAGACCGACAGCUAAGGCCCCCAAAUCUAGUCUAAGUGAACACUAGAAAGGAUGUGGCAGGUCAUUGACAACCAGGAGGUUGGCUUAGAAGCAGCCAUCCUUUAAAGAAAGCGUAAUAGCUCACUGGUCAAGACAGGCCGCGCCGAAAAUGUAACGGGGCUCAAGACUAGUGCCGAAGCUUCGGGUCACACGUAAAGCGUGUGGCGGUAGGGGAGCGUCCCAGUUGCAGCGAAGGUCGACUGAAAAGGCGGCUGGAGCGGCUGGGAGUGCUGAUGCCGAAAUGAGUAGCGAUAAAGGGGGUGAGAAACCCCCUCGCCGUAAGCCCAAGGUUUCCUGGGUCAAGUUAAUCUUCCCAGGGUUAGUCGGAACCUAAGCCGAGGCCGAAAGGCGUAGGUGAUGGAAAGCGGGUUAAUAUUCCUGCACCAUCUUGUGAGCGUUGAACUAAGGGAGGACGGAGAAAGCUAGGCGAGCUGACCGGUGGUUGUGUCAGUCUAAAGGUGUAGGGGUGUCGCGUACGAUUAAAGGCGCGGCAGC
rnacentral:rRNA from 1 species